AAAAAGACAAACCUUUCGUGUCCAAUAUUUGACCGUCCGUCUUAUUUAAAAAAAUUAUAAAAAAAUUAAAAAGACAAGUCACGCAUAAAAUAUUAAUCAUGUUUUAUUAUCUAACAAUAAUAAAAAUACGAAUUAUAAAAAAAUUUCAUAUAAGACGGACAGUCAAAAAGUUGGACACGAAAACUCAGGUUUGCCUUUUUU
rfam:Oryza nivara chromosome 7, whole genome shotgun sequence.